GGGGCUGUAACGGUUUCGACGUUUUGGCGAACACUACCUCGUGAUUCAGGCCGAGAGUGAGUCUCCUCUCGUGAAUAAAAGACUCAAACCAAAUGUAAGUGCGAAUAACAUCGUUCCUUUUGCUCGUAAGUCUGCACCCGUUGCAGUUGCUUAAUUAGGAAAACAAACCUCGAGCGUCUUCUGAUUGACUCCGUUAAGGUCAGUAGACAAAACCCCAACGGAUGCGCUACCUAGCUGCCCUUGGUCAACUGGAUAGUUAAGAACCUACCAAGGCAUCCUACUGUUCGGGAUAAGGAACAGUCCCCGUCUCUAGGGUACAGAGACUAAGCCUGUGAAUGAGCGGAGUAUUAAUACCCAGGGCGGACACGGGUUCGACUCCCGUCAGCUCCAUUU
rnacentral:tmRNA from 1 species